rnacentral:rRNA from 1 species
CGAUAACGAACGAGACCUUAACCUGCUAAAUAGUUAGGCCAACGUUUGUUGGUCGUCAACUUCUUAGAGGGACUAUUGACUAUUAGUCAAUGGAAGUUUGAGGCAAUAACAGGUCUGUGAUGCCCUUAGAUGUUCUGGGCCGCACGCGCGCUACACUGAUCAAGUCAACGAGUUUACAACCUUGGCCGGAAGGUCUGGGUAAUCUUUUGAAACUUGAUCGUGCUGGGGAUAGUCCAUUGCAAUUAUUGGACUUCAACGAGGAAUUCCUAGUAAGCGUGAGUCAUCAGCUCGCGUUGAUUACGUCCCUGCCCUUUGUGCACACCGCCCGUCGCUACUACCGAUUGAAUGGCU